rnacentral:rRNA from 1 species
GACGAACGCUGGCGGCGUGCUUAACACAUGCAAGUCGAACGGAAAGGCCCUGCUUGCAGGGUACUCGAGUGGCGAACGGGUGAGUAGCACGUGGGUGAUCUGCCCUGCACUUCGGGAUAAGCCUGGGAAACUGGGUCUAAUACCGGAUAGGAGCCAUUUUUAGUGUGAUGGUUGGAAAGUUUUUUCGGUGUAGGAUGAGCUCGCGGCCUAUCAGCUUGUUGGUGGGGUAAUGGCCUACCAAGGCGGCGACGGGUAGCCGGCCUGAGAGGGUGGACGGCCACAUUGGGACUGAGAUACGGCCCAGACUCCUACGGGAGGCAGCAGUGGGGAAUAUUGCACAAUGGGCGCAAGCCUGAUGCAGCGACGCCGCGUGGGGGAUGACGGCCUUCGGGUUGUAAACUCCUUUCGCUAGGGACGAAGCUUUUUGUGACGGUACCUAGAUAAGAAGCACCGGCUAACUACGUG